rnacentral:rRNA from 1 species
GCCAACGCCGACUUGAGGAAGGAGCUCGGUGAAGCGAAGGCCGCCCUUCAUACCAAGGAUGCCGAGUACGCUGCCUUGGUCCAGGAGCGUGAUCGCCUGGCCAAGAAGCUGGCCGACCAGGAGAAGAGCCACAAGGCGGCCCUGCAGGCGGCGCAGGAUAGCGAAGCCGCCCUGAAGGCAGAGUAUGAGACCGAGGCGGCGAGCUGGGCUGAGACCCGGCGAGCCCUGGAUGAAGGCUUCGGCCGGAUCGAGGACUUGAUCGACGACUACUUCCCCGGCUACUCCACCUUCGCCGCCCAA